UAUUCGUCCAGUUCACGGUUCAAAUGGCUCGUUCUAACUUCUAAUUACUGUAAUGGAGCUAGGCGGAGUUCGGGUGAAGACUGAAGAGGAGGACGACGCCGUGGCCCCUCCACUUCCUACUGCACUGACAUAGACUCGUAUAGUGGGGAGGUGAUGGGAUCGUCGAUCGGUUUUGGGGGUGGAGCCCUUGCUGACGGAGGUGGGUCGGAUGUCGUAGCAGGUCGCUCCUCUCUCAUUUUUCUCGGGACCGGUUGUUCCGGCACCGUCCCUAACGCGAGAUGCUUGAUCCACGCUACGGAUCCUCCUUGCCCCGUCUGCACCCGGGCCCUCUCCGUUCCUCCUGAGAGAAACCCUAAUUACAGGUGCAACACUUCUCUUUUGAUUGAUUAUUGUCAAGAUGGAGUACACAAUUACAUAAUAAUUGAUGUGGGAAAGACGUUCAGAGAACAAGUUUUGUGGUGGUUCACUCACCAUAAGAUUUCUCGAAUAGAUUCUAUUAUUCUGACUCACGAACAUGCAGAUGCAGUUCUUGGUCUUGAUGAUGCCCGGGUGGUUCAACAUGAUCUUAAUUCAAUUCCGAUAUACUGUACCCAAUUUACAAUGGACAGUGUUACAAAAAGGUUUCCAUAUUUAGUGAAGAGAAAUUUGAAAGAAGGUCAUGUAUUCAUGUUUACUAGUCAUUUGGAUUGGAAAAUUUUUGUUGAUGAUAUUGAGAAGCCUUUUAUAGCAUCAGGCCUAAAGUUGAUUCCUUUGCCAGUGAUGCAUGGUGAAGAUUAUGUUUGUUUAGGCUUCUUCUUUGGGCAAAAGACAAGGAUUGCAUAUAUAUCUGAUGUUUCACGCUUCCCUGUUGCCAGUGAAUAUACUAUCUCAAAAUCUGGAGCUGGACAGCUGGACCUUCUGAUUCUAGAGGCUAAUUCAAUUCGCAAGGUAGUCUCUAGGAGUACCCACCUUUCCUUUCCCGAGACCCUUGAAACAUUGAAGAGAAUGCGUCCCAAGCAAGCACUUCUAGUCGGAAUGACACACGACUAUGACCAUGACAGCUAUAACAAACUACUUGAAGAAUGGUCUAGCAGGUAACGAAUUCUUUCUCGAGAGAAAUUCCGCAGUCUUUGAGGAGGCCUUAAACAUCAUUAUCUGAAAUUGGUGCCGGCAUUGGCUGUUUUAAUAUGAUAGCAACAAGAGUUUUUUAGAAGGGAUCUCAGUGCAGCUUGCUCGUGAUGGUUUACAAGUGUAUGCUGAUUUGUGAAUACCUGGUGCACAUGAAGCAUGCUUCCUUGCCAGGUUUAGUAGAAUCCUUUCGUCAGUGUGGCAAAGCUAUCGCGGCUUUCAUUGACGAUCCAACAUCUCUAGUACUGAUCCUGCACUCGUACCGUAUGGUGAACAUAUAUUAGAUAUUCUUAUUUUUUGUAAAUUAAUCUUCUUCUUUUUGUUUGGGUUUUGAUGAUUGUUCUCAAAACAUUUUAGAGACAAAUGGGCAUUGUAUGUGUUCCCUGUAUGUGUAACUAAAAUCAUCAGAAAUAUUUGUUCGAAUGCGCCGAUUCAAGUC